rnacentral:rRNA from 1 species
CCUACGGGGGGCAGCAGUGGGGGAUAUUGCACAAUGGGGGAAACCCUGAUGCAGCGACGCCGCGUGUGGGAAGACGGUCCUCUGGAUUGUAAACCACUGUCCCCAGGGACGAAAAUGACGGUACCUGACUAAGAAGCCCCGGCUAACUACGUGCCAGCAGCCGCGGUAAUACGUAGGGGGCAAGCGUUAUCCGGAUUUACUGGGUGUAAAGGGAGCGUAGACGGCAGCGCAAGUCUGAAGUGAAAUCCCAUGGCUUAACCAUGGAACUGCUUUGGAAACUGUGCAGCUGGAGUGCAGGAGAGGUAAGCGGAAUUCCUAGUGUAGCGGUGAAAUGCGUAGAUAUUAGGAGGAACACCAGUGGCGAAGGCGGCUUACUGGACUGUAACUGACGUUGAGGCUCGAAAGCGUGGGGAGCAAACAGGAUUAGAUACCCCGGUAGUC